rnacentral:rRNA from 1 species
CGGUACACCCGCAGCACAAGUAGUGGUCACUUUUAUUGAGCCUAAAGCGUUCGUAGCCGGUUUUGUAAAUCUCCAGAUAAAGCCUGAAGCUUAACUCCAGAAAGUCUGAAGAGACUGCAAGACUUGAGAUCGGGUGAGGUUAAACGUACUUCCAGGGUAGGGGUAAAAUCCUGUAAUCCCGGAAGGACGACCAGUGGCGAAAGCGUUUAACUAGAACGAAUCUGACGGUAAGGAACGAAGGCUAGGGUAGCAAACCGGAUUAGAUACCCGGGUAGUCCUAGCUGUAAACAUUGCCCAUUUGAUGUUGCUUUUCCGUUGAGGGAAGGCAGUGUCGGAGCGAAGGUGUUAAAUGGGCCGCUUGGGAAGUAUGGUCGCAAGACUGAAACUUAAAGGAAUUGGCGGGGGAGCACCGCAACGGGAGGAAUGUGCGGUUUAAUUGGAUUCAACGCCGGAAAACUCACCGGGAACGACCUGUGCAUGAGAGUCAACUUGACGAGCUUACUCGAUAGCAGGAGAGGUGGUGCAUGGCCGUCGUCAGCUCGUACCGUAGGGCGUUCACUUAAGUGUGAUAACGAGCGAGACCCACAUCUUUAAUUGCAAAUGUAUAUGGGAAUAUGCAUGCACUUUAGAGAAACCGCCAGCGCUAAGCCGGAGGAAGGAGUGGUCGACGGCAGGUCAGUACGCCCCGAAUUUCCCGGGCUACACGCGCAUUACAAAGAACGGGACAAUACGUUGCAACCUCGAAAGAGGGAGCUAAUCGCGAAACCCGUCCAUAGUUAGGAUUGAGGGCUGUAACUCGCCCUCAUGAUCUGGAUUCCGUAGUAAUCGCGGGU